AGCCUCAGUAUCCAACAGACUCUCACCAAUUAGAACAUCUCGAUCUUUUAUACACAUGGUCAGUCCCCACUCGUCUUCAAGUUUUGGUGCUAAGACAUCUUUUUAUCCAAAUAAUAUCUCUCCCUCAUAAGACAUAUAUACACGUUACUGGUAUGUCUUUCGAACUUUUUUUUUCAAUAGUACGCCGAAUUACUCCAUAAAUAGAGAAGGCAAUCUUCCAUCUUUUACUAUACAACAGAAGCAGUAACGAGAUUGUAAUACAUGUAGAUAACAAUGUUGAAGCAAAGGUUAACCACAUAGUACUCUUACAGUCGGCGAACAAUUCGGAAAAAGAGUUGUAGGCAGUAAGUGUAUCAGUAACGCUUCCAUUUGAUAAUUGACAUUUAUAAGAC
rnacentral:lncRNA from 1 species